UGAGGAAUAUUGGUCAAUGGGCGGAAGCCUGAACCAGCCAUCCCGCGUGCAGGAAGACGGCCCUCUGGGUUGUAAACUGCUUUUCCAGGGGGAGAAACUUUCCGAUGAAUCGGGCUUUGACGGUACCCUGGGAAUAAGCAUCGGCUAACUCCGUGCCAGCAGCCGCGGUAAUACGGAGGAUGCGAGCGUUAUCCGGAUUUAUUGGGUUUAAAGGGUGCGUAGGCGGAUCGAUAAGUCAGUGGUGAAGACCUGCAGCUUAACUGUAGACUUGCCGUUGAUACUGUUGGUCUUGAGUAUGGUCAAGGUAGGCGGAAUGUGUAAUGUAGCGGUGAAAUGCUUAGAUAUUACACAGAACACCGAUUGCGAAGGCGGCUUACUGGACCAUCACUGACGCUGAUGCACGAAAGCGUGGGGAUCGAACAG
rnacentral:rRNA from 1 species